rnacentral:rRNA from 1 species
AGAUUGAACGCUGGCGGCAUGCCUAACACAUGCAAGUUCGAACGGGAGUAGCAAUACUCUAGUGGCGGACGGGUGAGGAAUACGUAGGAAUUUGCCCUUAAGUGGGGGAUAACCCGGGGAAACCCGGAUUAAUACCGCAUGACCUCGAAAGAGCAAAGUGGGGGAUCGCAAGACCUCACGCUUUUGGAGAAGCCUACGUCGGAUUAGCUAGUUGGUGAGGUAAUGGCUCACCAAGGCGACGAUCCGUAA